GUGGGGAAUAUUGGACAAUGGGCGAAAGCCUGAUCCAGCCAUGCCGCGUGUGUGAAGAAGGUCUUCGGAUUGUAAAGCACUUUAAGUUGGGAGGAAGGGCAGUAAGUUAAUACCUUGCUGUUUUGACGUUACCGACAGAAUAAGCACCGGCUAACUUCGUGCCAGCAGCCGCGGUAAUACGAAGGGUGCAAGCGUUAAUCGGAAUUACUGGGCGUAAAGCGCGCGUAGGUGGUUUUGUAAGUUAGAGGUGAAAUCCCCGGGCUCAACCUGGGAACUGCCUCCAAAACUGCAUGACUAGAGUACGGUAGAGGGUAGUGGAAUUUCCUGUGUAGCGGUGAAAUGCGUAGAUAUAGGAAGGAACACCAGUGGCGAAGGCGACUACCUGGACUGAUACUGACACUGAGGUGCGAAAGCGUGGGGAGCAAACAGGAUUAGAUACCCCGGUAGUCC
rnacentral:rRNA from 1 species